GACGAACGCUGGCGGCGUGCUUAACACAUGCAAGUCGAACGGAAAGGCCCCGCUUUUGUGGGGUGCUCGAGUGGCGAACGGGUGAGUAACACGUGAGUAACCUGCCCUUGACUUUGGGAUAACUUCAGGAAACUGGGGCUAAUACCGGAUAGGAGCUCUUGCUGCAUGGUGGGGGUUGGAAAGUUUCGGCGGUUGGGGAUGGACUCGCGGCUUAUCAGCUUGUUGGUGGGGUAGUGGCUUACCAAGGCUUUGACGGGUAGCCGGCCUGAGAGGGUGACCGGCCACAUUGGGACUGAGAUACGGCCCAGACUCCUACGGGAGGCAGCAGUGGGGAAUAUUGCACAAUGGGCGGAAGCCUGAUGCAGCAACGCCGCGUGCGGGAUGACGGCCUUCGGGUUGUAAACCGCUUUCGCCUGUGACGAAGCGUGAGUGACGGUAAUGGGUAAAGAAGCACCGGCUAACUACGUG
rnacentral:rRNA from 1 species